AUGUCGUCAGCCUUCGUUACUAGUGCCAAGCUGUCCUCGACGGUGCCCUCAGAAGUGAAGACAGAAGGAGAGGAGGUGACUUUCAGCUGCAGCUAUGAUACUACAGAGAGCGACUACUUUUUAUAUUGGUACCGGCUACGGUCAGACUCAAGACUUGAGUUCAUACUGUUCAAAGCUUCAAGUGGAUCUGAAGAUAAUGCAGAUUUUGCCCAAACCCGCUUCACCGGCCAUCUACAGAAGGAAAGGAAAUUCACUAGUUUGACCAUCUCAUCGCUGCAGCUGAGCGACUCUGCAGUUUACUACUGCGCCUUCUGCCGCACAGUGAUGAAAACCAGUUAA